rnacentral:rRNA from 1 species
AGCUCCAAUAGCGUAUAUUAAAGUUGUUGCAGUUAAAAAGCUCGUAGUUGGAUUUCUGGUAGGAGCGACCGUACCGAACUUGAUUGUUCGUCUAUUGUGUUGUCUUCAGCCAUCCUCGUGGAGAAUUUUUCCGGCAUUGAUUUGUCGGGAUAGGGACCCGCGUUGUUUACUGUGAAAAAAUUAGAGUGUUUAAAGCAGGCAAUCGCUUGAAUACAUUAGCAUGGAAUAAUAAGAUAGGACUUUGGUACUAUUUUGUUGGUUUGCAUACCAAAUUAAUGAUCAACAGGAACAGUUUGAGGAUAUUCGUAUGAACAUGUCAGAGGUGAAAUUCUUGGAUUUUGAUCAGACGAACUACUGCGAAAGCAUUUAUCAAGGAUGUUUUCAUUAAUCAAGAACGAAA